GCAGUGGAGCGAAAUAUCUACAGAGUUACAGACGCACUAUCGACAAGUCUCCCGCAAUCCACUCAACCACUCUACUCAAGCCUGACGCUUCCUCCCUGAUAUUGAUACGCGGCCGCCGCCUCGCUCCUCCCCCAGACCACGCCGCCGCCGCCCCGCUCCUCCUACCGGCUCCGCGCUCCGUUGCCCCGCUCCUCCCGCCGACGCGCGUCACACCAAGCACACCCAUCUCGUCUGCGGCUACGAGCAUGCGACCAUGGCAGCUUCUUCUUCCAAAUCCACCACCGCAUUCAUCGAUUCCGUGGCCGAGCUUCCGGAGAUUACUAGCGGAUUUGGGAGGCGUGGGGAGAAAAGGAAGGAGAAAGACCACUCUGCAGAGAGAGAGAGAGAGGGGCAAAAGAGCCAUCCGUGCGUGUUGACCACCAGACGGAGGUAGGGGAGAGGAGGGGUCUGGGCGGCGCUGCUCCUCUGUGCGCCGCUUUCGUCCAGGAGCCAGGGAUUGAGGAGGGACCCGCGCAUCCGUGCAACACGAACAUCUCGCCUGUAGCGCCCUCGUCAGCGGUCCAGCAAAUCGCCGGUCAGCAUCUUGAGCCCAAUAACGCACGCAUGCGACUUCCUGCACUCGAAUCGUCGGAUAUGGGGGCGUAUUGGAGAGUUGAUGUUGGUUCCCCGCAGGUUUUUUGGGGCAUGUGGGUCUUUAAUUUGUGGACGACGGCGAGAAGCGCAGCGAGGUUACGGUGCAGUACCUCACUGUAGAUUCCCCUCCCGCUCUUCGUCCACAGAUUGAGGCGUUGUGAACCAGUUUUUGGAUUUGCCAAAGUGCGUGUGUUGAGUUGCUGCAGGCGUGAGCAUGAGUUGCAGGAAGAUGUGGUAUGAGUUCGUCAGAGUUUGCCGUACGAUAGUUGGUAGAUCCUUUCCCACAAAGCGUGUAUUUUGUUGUUGUACAAAAACUUGCCUAACUAUUGAUUUGUAGUUGCCUGAAAUGUUCGUUAGUUUUGCCAUCUCAUAGAGGUGCUACAAAAACUUGAUGGAAAUUUUGAUUACUCAGAACCCAGAAACUUUGUUGCACACCAAUGCGCUCAUGGAGAUAUGAACUAGCCUACUUUCAUAUCUACCCACAGCUUGCCUAAUGUUUUUGUAUAUCUGCACAAAGCUUGCCUAACGAUUUUGUUAGCUGGUUGCCUGAUAUGGUUCAAAACUUGUUAGUUUCUCGAAGGAUGAGUCCAUCCAGAGGAGGAGGCAGAGCAUCCAAAGGAUCGACCCUGCGCCUCACGCAGGGUGAGUCCCCCGCCCUCCCUAUCGUUUCUUGAAGUAGCUGAUGCAGAUUCAUCCCGAUUUUUUGACGUGAUUUUUGUUCGGUGAGAGUUUGUCGCUAGCGGGGCAGGGGUGAUUUGAAUUGGUCACCUUGAUUCCGCGAGAAGCGUUUUUGUCAUCUCCAAUCCAUAGUUGGUCAGCCAAGGAAAGCAUUGCUGGCAUGAUGUCUUGUUGUAUCUUGUUGUACUAGAGAAUGUGAUUGUUUCCGUUGCAUAUGUCGCUGAGAAGUGCCGCAGCUGCAUCCAUCUCGAGACCAUUAUCGUUUCUAUGGUUUGCUGUCCCAGGGAAGAGCAACAAUGAAUUUCCAGUAUCAUUUGGAUAGUAAGAGGAAGGGGAGAACAAAUCUGCUUUUUUUCACUGCAAGUGGGGCUGUAUUUGAAUUUCCAGUAUUUUUUUCGCUUUAUCACGUUUUGCCUCAAAACAAUGCAAUACUUGCCCCAUUUUUCUGUCUGAAAUGUUUUUCACAGGCAAAAAAAUGGCUGGGAAAAGCAAAAAGGGCGUUCAACAAGAUCCCCAAUAGUUAACCCCGAUGCUAAUUCAUCUCCUGUCAUUGAAGAGCAGCAAACAAAGUCUUUUCUAUAUGUGGGGAGAGGCGGGCAUGGCGGAAUUUGUUGGAGAUUUUGGGAGGGCUGAGAGAGGGGACCUGUGGUUUUGCUGUUGAAUCGACCGGUGGUGGUGUUGAAUCUCCUCCUGGCGACGCAUGCCUCGACUGGCAGGGCCUACAUGUGGCACAGUUCCAAGGGCUUCCGUUUGGGACGACGACCUCAUACUCAAGGUCAUGAGGAAGGAAAAGAAGGGUCCAGGGGAGUACAACAAGCUGCGACCCGGCAGGACUUUGCCUUGUAUGGCAUUUUGCCUGAAACUUGCACAAGAAGCUUCACAGGAAAACAGGCUUCCCAAGCCACUACCAGACCCACUAAAAAACCCUCAUCAAGCUAUCAAAGUAAUGCCCAUGCAAGGAAACCUCUACCAGCUACCAUCAACUAUACUUCGGGGCACAUUACAAAACAGUGCGGGAGAUUAAAGAAAUGAGGGCGAACACAACGGGGGGAAAUUUUGCACCCACAACGAGCAAUGGUCCUUCAGAUGGGGUGGAACCAGGGGAAGGGAUUCAUUGCCUAUGUCCUCCUUUUGCGUAGGAAGGUGUGGGGACAGGUGGGGAGAGAAGAAAGGAGGGAGGCGGCCAAUGGGCGCAGAGGGGCAGCUCAGAGUCAGCUUUGGUGAAGCACGUGAUCGGGAGAUUGGGAGGAGAGAAGCUGGGUUGACGGUGGGUUGACGGGGAACGUGGGAGGCAGUCAACCCUUUACUUUCCAAAUCUGGAUUGAGGGAGACCGAACCUUACCUAAUACGGGAGGCACACGUUUGCCCGCUAGACGCGUCCAAAAAAAGAGGGUUUGAUUUUUAGCCACUACUAACUUUACACUUUGAUAAUUUAAAAUGUUUUUGCGAACCCACUUAAGUUGCAUGGUUAGAGGGAUUGUGGUAUCCCUAGCUCAUCAGGUUCAAGUCCUGGUGCUCGCAUUAUUCCUGGAUUUAUUUCAGAAUUUUUGGCGAUGCGCUUUCAGUGGGAGGAGACGUCCCGUCGACGACGAGGCGUCUAUGGUGACUUCGUAAAUCUCAAGAUAAUACACUGACUCAGUUUCUUAUUUCAGGAUUUCCGACGAUACGCUUUCAGUGGGAGUAGACGUUUCCGUCGACGACGAGGCGCCUAUGAUGACUUCGUAAAUCUUAAAAUGAUAUACUUUCUUAUUUCAGGAUUUCCGGCGAUACACUUUCAGUGGCAGGAGAUGUUCCCGUCGACGAUGAGGCGCCUACAGUAACUUCGUAAAUCUCAAGAUGAUAUGCCGGCUCAGUUUCUCAAAAAUGCUCAUAGGGAUAGGGUGUGCGUGUGUGUUCAUAGAGGACCGCGCGCUCCCAUGUGCCAACCCCUCUUCUCUUUGAAUCAACAUGAGGAUCUGACCCUUUCGCUACCGCGAGGGCCCAUGAUGGUAGGGUUGAACAAGCUACCGUCGGAGACCACGAUGGUAGGGUUGAACAAGCUACCGUCGGAGACCACGAUGGUAGGGUAAUGGCAGCCUCCGUCAAACUACCGGUUGCAGCCUGACGUGUCGUAACUCCUCUAUCGCCGAGGCAGAUGGUGGUAGGUUAGCUAACAUUACCGCCACCUCCCUCAGCGGUAGGGUGUGACAGGCCUGCGCGAGCGCCAGCUUGCUGUGACAGAAAAUGCAGGUGUUUUUGCGGUAGGAUUUCACAGCCUACCGC